AGUGAACGCUGGCGGUAGGCCUAACACAUGCAAGUCGAACGGCAGCACAGUAAGAGCUUGCGCUGACGGGUGGCGAGUGGCGGACUGGUGAGGAAUACAUCGGAAUCUACUUUUUCGUGGAGGAUAACGUAGGGAAACUUACGCUAAUACCGCAUACGACCUACGGGGGAAAGCAGGGGAUCUUCGGACCUUGCGCGACUGAAUGAGCCGAUGUCGGAUUAGCUAGUUGGCGGGGUAAAGGCCCACCAAGGCGACGAUCCGUAGCUGGUCUGAGAGGAUGAUCAGCCACACUGGAACUGAGACACGGUCCAGACUCCUACGGGAGGCAGCAGUGGGGAAUAUUGGACAAUGGGCGCAAGCCUGAUCCAGCCAUACCGCGUGGGUGAAGAAGGCCUUCGGGUUGUAAAGUCCUUUUGUUGGGAAAGAAAAGCAGUCGGUUAAUACCCCGCUGUUCUGACGGUACCCAAAGAAUAAGCACCGGCUAACUUCGUG
rnacentral:rRNA from 1 species